CAGGUUUGGCUAAGUGGAGAGAAGGAUGGGAGUCACUGCAGGUUCCAGCCCACCGUGGAGAUCCUCAUCCUUUGUUUUGACUUCUAGGAAGAACAGCCUCUGAAAUGAAUAAUCCCACUUAUCCAGGUACAGAACAGCUUGAUUGGAAAGGAUACUUGAAAACAUGAAGAAAGAAGGAAGCUGUCUGUCCUGGAGUCCAGAGCCCCAACUAGUGGAAAGCUGGAAAACUGCACUUGAAGAGAGACUGUUUGUCUGGGAGACAACCACCAGUCUUCCCGCAG